rnacentral:misc_RNA from 1 species
GGAGAUUCUAUCACCAGCUCCUUAUCUUUCAAAUCCAAGCUGGUUUCUUGAUGAGGGUAAGAGCACAAAAUGGACUCCAGCUGAAAAUAAGGCUUUUGAGGAUGCACUUGCCUUGUUUGAUAAAGAUACACCAGAUAGAUGGCAUAGAGUUGCAGAAAUGGUUCCAGGGAAAUCAGUUGUUGAUGUGAUGAGGCAAUAUAAAGAAUUAGAAGAUGAUGUGAGCAGAAUAGAAGCUGGAUUAGUUACUAUUCCUGGUUAUAGUACUUCACCUUUUACAUUAGAAUGGGGGAAUAGUCAUAGUUUUGAUGGAUACAAACAAUCUUAUGUUGUUGGAGGUAAAAGGCCUUUGUCUAAUAGGCCACCAGAACAAGAGAGGAAGAAGGGUAUUCCAUGGACAGAAGAAGAACAUAAGUUGUUUCUAAUGGGGCUUAAAAAGUAUGGAAAGGGUGAUUGGAGGAACAUUUCGCGUAACUUUGUUGUUACUAGAACUCCAACUCAAGUGGCUAGUCAUGCU